rnacentral:rRNA from 1 species
CUAGCAUAUCAAUAAGCGGAGGAAAAGAAACCAACAGGGAUUGCCCCAGUAACGGCGAGUGAAGCGGCAACAGCUCAAAUUUGAAAUCUGGCGUCUUCGGCGUCCGAGUUGUAAUUUGUAGAGGGUGUCUCGGGUGGAGAACCGGUCCAAGUCCCUUGGAACAGGAUAUCAUAGAGGGUGAGAAUCCCGUAUCCGGCCGGCCCCCUCCCCCGCUGUGAGACCCCUUCGACGAGUCGAGUUGUUUGGGAAUGCAGCUCUAAAUGGGUGGUAAAUUCCAUCUAAAGCUAAAUACUGGCCAGAGACCGAUAGCGCACAAGUAGAGUGAUCGAAAGAUGAAAAGCACUUUGAAAAGAGAGUCAAACAGUACGUGAAAUUGUUGAAAGGGAAGCGUAUGCGGCCAGACUUGUCCGCGGUUGCUCAGCCCGUCUUCUGGCGGGUGCACUCUUCCGCGGUCAGGCCAGCAUCGGUUUGGGCGGCGGGAUAAAGACGCUGGGAAUGUGGCCCCUCGGGGUGUUAUAGCCCGGCGUGCAAUGUCGCCAGCCCGGACCGAGGCCCGCGUUCUGCUAGGAUGCUGGCGUAAUGGCCGUAUACGGCCCGUCUUGAAACACGGACCAAGGAGUCUAACAUCUAUGCGAGUGUUUGGGUGUCAAGCCCGGGCGCGCAAUGAAAGUGAACGGAGGUGGGAGCCUCGGCGCACCAUCGACCGAUCCUGAUGUCUUCGGAAGGAUUUGAGUAAGAGCAUAGCUGAUAGGACCCGAAAGAUGGUGAACUAUGCGUGAAUAGGGUGAAGCCAGAGGAAACUCUGGUGGAGGCUCGCAGCGGUUCUGACGUGCAAAUCGAUCGUCAAAUUUGCGUAUAGGGGCGAAAGACUAAUCGAAGCAUUUAGUAGCUGGUUCCUGCCGAGAUUCCCCUCAGGGAAGGGAAAACCGAGCUACUAAAUGGUUCGAUAGUCUUUUCGCCCUAUACGCAAUUUGACGAUCGAUUUGCACGUCAGACGCUGCGAGCCUCAACAGAGUUCC